AGGAUGAACGCUGGCGGUCUGCUUAACACAUGCAAGUCGAACGGAGUACCUCGGUACUUAGUGGCGGACGGGUGAGUAACGCGUGAGAAUCUGCCCUUAGGUCGGGGACAACCAUUGGAAACGAUGGCUAAAUACCGGAUAAGCCGAGAGGUAAAAGAUUAAUUGCCUAGGGAAGAGCUCGCGUCUGAUUAGCUAGUUGGUGAGGUAAAGGCUCGCCAAGGCAUCGAUCAGUAGCUGGUCUGAGAGGAUGAUCAGCCACACUGGGACUGAGACACGGCCCAGACUCCUACGGGAGGCAGCAGUGGGGAAUUUUCCGCAAUGGGCGAAAGCCUGACGGAGCAAGACCGCGUGAGGGAGGAAGGCUCGUUGGGUUGUAAACCGUCUUUUCUUGGGGAAGAACAAAAGUGACGGUACCCAAGGAAUCAGCAUCGGCUAACUCCGUGCCAGCAGCCGC
rnacentral:rRNA from 1 species